GAUGAACGCUGGCGGCGUGCCUAAUACAUGCAAGUCGAGCGAACAGACGAGGAACUUGCUCCUCUGACGUUAGCGGCGGACGGGUGAGUAACACGUGGAUAACCUACCUAUAAGACUGGGAUAACUUCGGGAAACCGGAGCUAAUACCGGAUAAUAUAUUGAACCGCAUGGUUCAAUAGUGAAAGACGGUUUUGCUGUCACUUAUAGAUGGAUCCGCGCCGCAUUAGCUAGUUGGUAAGGUAACGGCUUACCAAGGCGACGAUGCGUAGCCGACCUGAGAGGGUGAUCGGCCACACUAGAACUGAGCCACGGUCCAGACUCCUACGGGAGGCAGCAGUAGGGAAUCUUCCGCAAUGGGCGAAAGCCUGACGGAGCAACGCCGCGUGAGUGAUGAAGGUCUUCGGAUCGUAAAACUCUGUUAUUAGGGAAGAACAAAUGUGUAAGUAACUAUGCACGUCUUGACGGUACCUAAUCAGAAAGCCACGGCUAACUACGUG
rnacentral:rRNA from 1 species